AUGGUUGCAACCAGCCGAAAACUUACCUCUGGAGGUUUUCUGAGGUCUGUACCUGAGAGUCUCCUGCUGGAUCCUGUCACAGUCUUGGCUGAAUUGGAGGUCCCCCUCCCCCCCUGUCCGGGAUCUCGCUGGGGCCUCCAAAAUGUAUCAGGUGACAGGUGUCUGGUAGCCCCGGGGAAGAAAUGUCAUGCAGGAAUGCAGAAGAGAAACCGAGCACCCAGGCCUGCUAAAUUCUCCUCUUUCCACCCCAUUUAUUACCAUCAGAUCAUACUCUCUUGUCUUCCAAUCACACUUUUGCACAAUGGCCCAUAAAAACAAAUAUAUCUCCCUGUUUCUUUGAGUUGUGUUUCUGAAAGCUCCAGUGUCAUGUAAAACUGAUAUUGAAUAAAUGUGUGUGCUUUCCUCCUGUUAAUCUGACUUUUGUUGUAGGGAAUCUCAGCCAUGAACCUACUGAUCAAUGAGGAAGGAAAUCUUUUCCCCCUAUUUCCACAGAGGAAUAAGCCUUUGGAGAGAC
rnacentral:lncRNA from 1 species